UACGUAGGGUGCAAGCGUUGUCCGGAAUUAUUGGGCGUAAAGAGCUCGUAGGCGGUCUGUUGCGUCGGCUGUGAAAACCCGGGGCUCAACUCCGGGCCUGCAGCCGAUACGGGCAGACUAGAGUUCGGCAGGGGAGACUGGAAUUCCUGGUGUAGCGGUGAAAUGCGCAGAUAUCAGGAGGAACACCGGUGGCGAAGGCGGCGAUCUGGGUGGAUACUGACGCUGAGGUGCGAAAGCGUGGGGAGCAAACAGG
rnacentral:rRNA from 1 species